UUAGGUAUGCAUACCACCUUGAAUGCGCCUGAUCUCAUCUGAUCUCGGCAGCUAAGCAGGGUUGGGCCUGGUUAGUACUUGAA
rnacentral:rRNA from 1 species